UGAUCAACAGAAAACAUGUUAUAUACCGCUGCUUCUACAAACUUCCGGGGAUUAAUAAAGAAUUUCCAAAGACAUGGGCAGAAUCCCAUUAGGAACGAAGAGAAAGAGACUUGGCUCAAUGACCCCAAGAUGAUUUCCAUACACAUGGCUGAAAUUAACAAAAUUUCAGAGAACGGUGAGGACGACAACGUGUUCUUGUUCCUCAAUGAGAAUGCUGUCGAAGAACGACACGGGCUGCGAGUGUCGAGAGUUGUACGAGUGUGUAAAAGCGACUUGGGAGGAUUGAGAGUUUUGCAGAGAAAGUGGACUUCUUUCCUGAAAGCCCAUCUGGACUGCCCAUUUGGAGAUGAAGGUUCAGCAUCUCUGGUGCAGGACGUCUUUCUUCUAAAAGAUGAAAACAACUUGUUGGACAGUGUCUUCUAUGCAACAUUCACC